AGCGAACGCUGGCGGCAGGCUUAACACAUGCAAGUCGAGCGGGCAUCCUUGUGGUGUCAGCGGCAGACGGGUGAGUAACGCGUGGGAACGUGCCCUUCGGUUCGGAAUAACUCAGGGAAACUUGAGCUAAUACCGGAUACGUGCGAGAGCAGAAAGGUUUAUCUGCCGAAGGAUCGGCCCGCGUCUGAUUAGCUAAUUGGUGAGGUUACGGCUCACCAAGGCGACGAUCAGUAGCUGGUCUGAGAGGAUGAUCAGCCACACUGGGACUGAGACACGGCCCAGACUCCUACGGGAGGCAGCAGUGGGGAAUAUUGGACAAUGGGGGCAACCCUGAUCCAGCCAUGCCGCGUGAGUGAUGACGGCCUUAGGGUUGUAAAGCUCUUUUCUCCGGGACGAUAAUGACGGUACCGGAGGAAUAAGCCCCGGCUAACUUCGUG
rnacentral:rRNA from 1 species